UUUUGGACAAUGGGCGCAAGCCUGAUCCAGCCAUGCCGCGUGAGUGAAGAAGGCCUUCGGGUUGUAAAGCUCUUUCGGUGAAGACGAAACGGUUAGUGCUAAUAACACUGACUAAUGACGGUACUCACAGAAGAAGCACCGGCUAACUACGUGCCAGCAGCCGCGGUAAUACGUAGGGUGCAGGCGUUAAUCGGAAUUACUGGGCGAAAGCGUGCGCAGGCGGUUUGCUAAGACAGGUGUGAAAUCCCCGGGCUUAACCUGGGAAUUGCGCUUGAACUGGCAAGCUAGAGUGUGGCAGGGGGGGGUGGAUUCCACGUGAGCAGUAAAUGCGAAAUGUGGGGAACACCAUGGCAAGGAGCCCCCUGGGUUACUCUGCGUAUCCAGAACA
rnacentral:rRNA from 1 species